AAAGUGUGCUUUUAUAGAAUUUAAAUUUGAUUAUAGUUUUAAAAGUUUUAAAAUAGCAUUAUUUAAAUUUAAUUUGUUUAAUGGGCAAUAAAAUAUUACCCUGGUAAUAAAUUGUUUGUAUAAAAUGUGUUCCAGAAUAAUCGGCUAUACUUGUUAAACUUUAACUUUAUUUUUUGUAAAUUAUAAAAUUGUGUAAAAUUUUUUAGAUAUUUUUUAGGUAAAAUUUUAAAUGUUAAUAUUUUAAUUUUAUAAUUUAAAAGUUUGUGAAAUGAAUUAGAUUAGUACCUAAGUAAUCAAAUUUUAGCAGAGCAGAAGUAAAGUAAAAUUUAAACUGAAAUAAUAUUGGCAGAUUUUCUAAAUUAUCUUUGGAGGUUGAGUAAUAAUUGAGAACCCUCAUUAACUACUAAUUUUUUUGGCUCAUGUAUGAUCGUUUAUUUUGUGUUGAAGACAUAAAAGUAAAAUUAAUUAAUUGUAAAAAUAGAUAUAUAUUUGGUUUAUAUAUAAGUAAUAUUUGACCUACAAUAAAAAAAAAUGUGGAUUUUUUAUGUGAAUAAAAAAAAAAAAUGUAAAAGACAGUAAAAAAAUUUUUAUGGUUUUUUGAAGAGUAUUUAGAAAUGGUACAAAUCAUCCAUCAAUUGCCUAAAGGGGAGUAAGUUGUAGUAAAGUAGAUUUAGGGGAAUCUGAAUCUAAUAAU
rnacentral:ncRNA from 1 species